rnacentral:lncRNA from 14 species
UCUCUAUACAUGUCUCAUCCUCUAAAGAAGUGGAGCAUCUCUAUUGCACUUUAGAAGCAGAAGCAGUAAAGCCCCAAAAUACUGAGACAGCACCAAUGAUCUGAAUCUUGGAAUUUUAUUCUCUGAUUCAACGUGUUACAAACAAACAUAUUCCACCUGUUACAACAAUCUGGCAUAUUACUUUCUUGAUACGUGAUGAUACAAUACCUCUCAGGUUUGCGAGUAGCAAAGAGAAAUCUGGUUCCACAACUAUCAGAUGACAGUCUCAGAGGAUUUUGGUUCUUCCAGGGAACUGCAGGACAACUGCAAAAGUGGAUGUCUGAGUAACAUGGCCAUGUACAGAGGAGUCCUAAUCCAUGAGCCUGUCUCUUCGGUGCAAUCACAAUAUAAGCAAGCAGAAAACACAAGAGAUGUAUCUGUUACUAUACCACUUUUAGGUUGCAUUCUAUUUCUGUGUUUAAGAGUGUUAACUGUUACUGCAAAGCAGGUCACUGUUAAAUGAUUUUCAGGACAACCUAACUACCUGUUAAGCAAGUUCAGUUAUUUUAAUUUUCUGUUUCUUCAGAAUCUGGAGACAGUUGCGGUUACAUCUACACGUGUAACUGCAUUACAUUGCUGUAUUUCCUAGAAUUUCCUUCAUUAAGUAUUUUUUUUUCAUUAAAUCUGUCCAUUCAGCCUUUGUAUAACAGCUAAGGGUAAAGAAUCUUCAGCCUUUUCAAAAGACAAAUUUUCUGCUAUAAACAGCAUGCCAUUACAACUCAACUGAUUGCAAAGAAUUUGGAUUGCCGUGUGAUUCAAGUCUUUCAUUGAACUGAUAUCAUCCACUCAACCUCAGCAAUACCUUAGAGAAAUACAAAGCAGAGUAACUGUCUUUUAUAUUAUACUCUCUCAGUACAAGAAUAAUAGAGAUGCCAUGAAUAUUGCAGAGGUGUCACAUUAGCUGCUCUGUGCUAGAGCUGAACUUAAUAGUGUAAAGGAAAGAGAACUUAUUGUUAAUUUUUUUUU